GCAUACCACGCGAGUAUCACGUGAUUACUUCCUCAAAACAAACCGUAAACUUAGAAGCAAAGGAAUGACUGACUGUGCAAAGUUCAAACCAUUUCAAUGCAACGAAGCCUGUCGAGAAUUUACUUUAAUGGCGGAGUAAUGAAUUUGCGGUCGUAUUGACUUAUACACUCGUGGUUGAGUUUAAUUUCGUGCCCCGUGAUAUCCGACGACAGAUAGAAAGGGUCCCUCUACAAAAUGUUUCUGUCAUUGCUUUACGCUUUUUUGGUAGCAGCCAUUUUCCACAAAACAACAACGACUACCACAGAACGCAGCAAGUGUGCCGCCAGAAGCUUCGGCCAUGACUCAGUGGUGUGUGAGUGUAACUCUACGUACUGUGACACCUUGGGCACCGGUUCUCUUCCCCCGCUGGGUCACUACAUCUCCUACCUGAGCACCAUGGCCGGAAGCCGGCUAGAGGACGCCCAAGGCCCAGUCAGACCCAACAGAACCGGUGCUGGCCUCAGACUAACUCUCCUUCCAAACAAGAAGUACCAGAAGAUGAGAGGAUUUGGUGGAGCGAUGACAGACGCAGCAGCGCUGAACAUCCUGUCGCUUUCAGCUGGAGCACAAGACCAACUGCUGAAACAAUACUUCUCUAAAGAGGGUAUAGGUUAUACUGUAGUGCGGGUGCCCAUGGCCAGCUGUGACUUCUCCACACGUCUGUACACGUAUGCUGACACGCAGGACGAUUACAACCUUCACAAUUUCACUCUGGCCCCUGAAGAUGUACACAUGAAGAUCCCUCUGCUGCAGAGAGCCCAGGCCAUGGCUCCCCAACCUUUGUCUCUGCUGGGCAGUGCCUGGAGCGCCCCCGCCUGGAUGAAGACAAACGGAGCUCUCAUAGGAAAAGGGUCCUUGAAGGGAAAACCUGGUGGAAAGGAGCAUAAAAGCUGGGCUCAAUACUAUAUAAGAUUCCUUGAGGAAUAUGCCAAGUAUAAUUUGACGUUUUGGGCUGUGACCACAGGGAAUGAACCGACAGCAGGACAGAUAACAAACUACAGUUUCCAGGCGCUGGGCUUCACCCCCGAAGAGCAGAAGGACUGGGUGGCCUUGGACCUGGGCCCGGCCCUCCACGCUUCGGCUUUUCCGCACACUCACAUCCUCCUGCUGGACGACAACCGCCUGCUGCUGCCUUACUGGGCCAAAGUGGUGCUAAGUGACAUCCACGCAGGUCGAUACAUCCACGGGGUGGCGGUGCACUGGUACAUGGAUGGCCUGAUCCCCGCCGGGCCCACCCUGGGAUCAACCCACCAACUUUACCCGGAGUAUUAUCUGUUUGGCACUGAGGCCUGCGCAGGCUGGAAGCCGCUAGACCGGGGGGUGAAACUAGGCAGCUGGCAGAGGGCCGAACAGUACGCGCAUGAUAUCAUAGAGGAUUUAAAUCAUUACAUGACGGGCUGGACCGACUGGAACCUGGCGCUGGAUCUGACUGGCGGGCCCAACUGGGUGAAGAACUUCGUAGACAGCCCCGUCAUAGUUGACGCUAAGCGUGACGUCUUCUACAAGCAGCCAACCUUCUACGCAUUGGCCCACUUCAGUAAGUUCCUGUGUGAGGGCUCUCAGAGAGUCGGUAUGUCCACCAGUGGGGAAACAAACCUGAAAUUCUCAGCCUUCAUCCGACCAGACGGCGUAGUGGUGCUCAUCAUCCUUAACAGGUCAUCAUCGGCCAUCCAGUUUGAGGUGUGGGACCAAAUGGUGGGCUACAUCCCCUCCACAGCGCCACCUCAUUCCGUACUCACGCUUGCUUGGUACACAUCAGGACUCAAUAUGUACCGGAAUUGUAUUUGAGUAACCCUGCUGUCCCGCAAUAGAACAUGGCAUCUGAAGAUCAGAUUCGAGAUGAACACCGAGUGGGGUGACGGACAUUUGCUUUUAAACUGCAGCUGUUCAAGCUGAUGCCAACCCACCCUUCGACAGCGGGUGAGCGGUCGGGCCUGCUGCUGACUCUGGACCUGUACCUCCUCUGGGUGUGUAGGCGCGGGGGGCGCGCCGGGCCCCAGUGGUCGCCGGCACCCAGUGAACCCGCCAAGGGCCCCCCGAGGCCGGCGGGGACAGAGCCCCCAAUGGGCCCGCUUCCGAAACCCCCAAAGUCGCUGAGCCCGCCCAAGCGCCCACCGGGGAGCCGGGGCUCCGAGUCGGGGUUGUCGCCGUCGAUGGAAAAUGGCCGCUCCAUUAAAAGCAGGUGCCAGAGCUGCGAGGACGAUGACAACACGACACAGGAGGUUAGUUGUCAAUUGUGGCUAUUGCGAAUUCCGUAUUAAUGUGUGUUUUGUUUAGGUUUGUUCAACACAACAAUUGAAAGCGAUCCCAAACUUUUAGCAUUUGCUGUCUUUUUUGCACACUUCUGACUCACCGCCAUUGCGGCAUCUUAUAGCUGCACAGAAUUGUGGGCGAGUCUGCAGUAGCAUUAGGUAUUGCCAAAAAAAAUCACUUCAAAUCUUGGGAGGCAGAGAUUUAGUUUAAACUUUAUCUUGAAGUGAAUAAUUUGAAUUAUUCGAUUAAUCAUUUCAGUCACAGGUUGUCACUCAGGAAAGAAACGUACCUCUGCAAACUGAGUGGUAGUGUCAUCUAGUCCAUUGCCGCCGCCCUCUAGGAGGCUGCUGGAAUUACAGAAAAAAAUAAAUGGCGGCUCACCACGACUCGAAACCCAUUGAACGAGACGCGUCUUUUACCUGGAAUCUUCCGUCACUUCCUCGAUGAAGCCCGAGUCACAGCGGGGACAGA